rnacentral:rRNA from 1 species
CACUCCUACGGGAGGCAGCAGUGGGGAAUUUUGGACAAUGGGCGAAAGCCUGAUCCAGCAAUGCCGCGUGAGUGAAGAAGGCCUUCGGGUUGUAAAGCUCUUUUGUCAGGGAAGAAACGGUGAGAGCUAAUAUCUCUUGCUAAUGACGGUACCUGAAGAAUAAGCACCGGCUAACUACGUGCCAGCAGCCGCGGUAAUACGUAGGGUGCAAGCGUUAAUCGGAAUUACUGGGCGUAAAGCGUGCGCAGGCGGUUUUGUAAGUCUGAUGUGAAAUCCCCGGGCUCAACCUGGGAAUUGCAUUGGAGACUGCAAGGCUAGAAUCUGGCAGAGGGGGGUAGAAUUCCACGUGUAGCAGUGAAAUGCGUAGAUAUGUGGAGGAACACCGAUGGCGAAGGCAGCCCCCUGGGUCAAGAUUGACGCUCAUGCACGAAAGCGUGGGGAGCAAACAGGAUUAGAAACCCCGGUAGUCCCAUG